AUACUAAAGUAAAAACAUAAAAGAAAAACAGUAACAAAUGUAAAUAAAAGUAAUUAACAACUCAUUUCUUUACAUAUAUUUUGUAUUGACAAUCAAAAUGUGCAAAAGUAACUAGUAACUAAUCACAAAUAAACUAAGUAGAGUAGUAAAAAAAAAUGGGAAUACUCAAAUAACAUACAAGUAGCAGUAGUAGUUUACUUUAUUCUGAAAUUAUAAAAAAGCAGGACUUUUACUUUUACUUUACAAACACUUGUGUGCCUUAAUUCUGAAAUUAUGAAUCGAGUACUUUUUGACUUGUAGUAAUAAUAAUAAUAACUUUAUUUAUAUAGCAUCUUUCAAAAACGAGUUACAAGGUGCUGUACAACAGAAAUAAAACAUAACAAAUGCAACUGCCUGACAACAACAUAAUGAAACCACCAAGAGAAAUAAAAUUUGACUUAAAAAUUAGAAAUUCAAAAUCACCCAUCCACAACAAAGUAAUCAUACAACGAUAACAAAACAAAAUUAAGCGAAGGCCAAGUGAGUCUUUAGAAGAGAUUUAAAAGAAGCCGUUGCCUGCUUGAGAUCUGAAUGUGGUGUAACUGAAUACAAAGAUAAUAUAUUUUCAUGCCCUCAGUGUCUCUGGCACCACAGACAGACUUUAUUCACAACACGAGGAGAAUAAUGGUGUUUUUCUGCGCGCUGGACGCACGUGAGCGGUGUGUGUUCAUGUGUGGAGCCAUCGUGGGUCUGCUCGGUGGCGUCUCCCCACACUGGGAUUAGCCGUCUUCUCUUUCAGCACUCCCUGAAUUCCAUUCCGCCUUUUACUUUUCCUGCAGCUCGCUCCCUCUCUCUCUCUCUCUCUCUCCUCUCCCUCCCUCUCCCUCUCUCCCAGCUCAGGACUUCCCAGUGACUUUACAAGCCUGCGUUUAGCCGCACACCAAGUCCCAAGUUUCGGUGCGCACUGGGGAGGGACAGAGGAAGAAGAAGAAGGAGAAGAAGGAGCAAGUUUGGAGUCUCUCUCUCUCUCUCUCUCUCCGACGAUUUUUUUUUAACGAGAAAAGCGAGCGCGUAAAAAAAGGAUCCGCGUUACCUGUUGAUGAAGUCCCACCGGGUGUGGGACGCAGAGGAGCAGCAGUCGGGUUCCUCCACAGAGAAGAAAAGUGUGAAAAGGGUGCAGGCAUCGCACCGCUCCUGUGGCCAGGAGGAGUGAAGGACCUCGGCUCUUUCUUUCUUUCUAUUUUUUUUAAAUUUUUUUUAUUUUUUAGUGUGUUUCCUUUCCCCCCAGCAUUGGCAGCCCGGCGCUGGGUUGGUGGACACAAAAAAAUGGGCACUCCGACCACUUCGAUCUGUGGACUUAUCCUCUCUUUGAUACUCACAUGCCAGCUGGUGACUGUGACUCAGGCCUCCAAGGUGUGGGGAGAGGUCCCUCUGCCAGAAGACCUGGAGGCGGAGAAAGAUGUGCAGGCGUCUCACAGCUUGCUGGACGACGACGAGGACUUCGCUGCCGAUGAAGCUUCAGGAGAUCUGCCCAGCGGAGAGGAUGAUGGCAGCACACCGUGGCCUCCAGUCUCCGAGAGCACAAGUAAGGGGACCAGAACAUCCAGCGAAUCUAACAAUUCUCUGCGACAGAUUUUGUUUAUGUGCGGUCGAUCACUCAGCCCUGUAAAGCUCCCCCAUCUGUGACUCUGACUUCACUUCACUGGCUGCAUGCAGUGCGUGUGUGUGUGUGUGUGUGUGUGUGUGUGUGUGUGUUUGUGCAGGAUUUCUGUCUGUGCCUGAAUGAUGAUGCCUUCACAUCCUGCCAUACCCCUCUCUCCUCCCUCCUCGCCAGCUUCGCCCGUCUGGUCAUAACACACGGC
ensembl:lncRNA